UUGGAUGAAAUUUAAAUCUUGUUUCGUUUCCGACAAAAACAGAAAAUCCGGUUUAUGUUUAUGCCAAAUUUCCCUUAGAUAACUAAUUGUCCAAUUACUUCCCGCACCUCUACAAUUCCAACUCAAUACUUUCAUAAAAAAUUCCAAAAAAUAAGCUCUCGGGAGCUAGUCAAACGGGAGUGAAGAGGCCCUAACUGUCCAUAAACCGAUAUGAAGAUACCAACGUAACUCGUGA
rnacentral:lncRNA from 1 species